GACGAACGCUGGCGGCGUGCUUAACACAUGCAAGUCGAACGGAAAGGCCCUGCUUUUGUGGGGUGCUCGAGUGGCGAACGGGUGAGUAACACGUGAGUAACCUGCCCUUGACUUUGGGAUAACUUCAGGAAACUGGGGCUAAUACCGGAUAGGAGCUCCUGCUGCAUGGUGGGGGUUGGAAAGUUUCGGCGGUUGGGGAUGGACUCGCGGCUUAUCAGCUUGUUGGUGGGGUAGUGGCUUACCAAGGCUUUGACGGGUAGCCGGCCUGAGAGGGUGACCGGCCACAUUGGGACUGAGAUGCGGCCCAGACUCCUCCGGGAGGCAGCAGUGGGGAAGAUUGCACAAUGGGCGGAAGCCUGAUGCAGCAACGCCGCGUGCGGGAUGACGGCCUUCGGGUUGUAAACCGCUUUCGCCUGUGACGAAGCGUGAGUGACGGUAAUGGGUAAAGAAGCACCGGCUAACUACGUG
rnacentral:rRNA from 1 species